CAAAACCAAAAUAACAAAGAAUCAAAAUCUACCGAGACUGAAACUUGAUAGUGUGAGCCUUUAAGUUGAUAUGACUACCUAGUUUUGCAAAAUGUCAACUAGAGGAAACAUGAAAAGAAACAAAGUAAUAUUAUGUAACAACCCAUUUUUUAGUGAAAUUGUAACAUUGGUUUCGGGACCACAAAUCUGACUCGAGAAUAAAAU
rnacentral:lncRNA from 1 species